rnacentral:rRNA from 1 species
GUGAGGAAUAUUGCGCAAUGGAGGCAACUCUGACGCAGCCAUGCCGCGUGCAGGAAGAAGGCGCUACGCGUUGUAAACUGCUUUUAACCGGGAAGAAACCCCAGGACGUGUCCUGGGUUGACGGUACCGGAGGAAUAAGCACCGGCUAACUUCGUGCCAGCAGCCGCGGUAAUACGAAGGGUGCAAGCGUUAUCCGGAUUCAUUGGGUUUAAAGGGUGCGUAGGCGGAGCGUUAAGUCAGUGGUGAAAUCCUGCAGCUUAACUGUAGACUUGCAAUUGAUACUGGCGCUCUUGAGUGCGCUUGAAGUGGGCGGAAUGUGCCGUGUAGCGGUGAAAUGCUUAGAUAUGGCACAGAACACCAAUUGCGAAGGCAGCUCACUAAGGCGAUACUGACGCUGAGGCACGAAAGCGUGGGGAUCGAACAGGAUUAGAAACCCGAGUAGUCC